rnacentral:rRNA from 1 species
UACGUAGGGUGCAAGCGUUGUCCGGAAUUAUUGGGCGUAAAGAGCUCGUAGGUGGCGGGUCACGUCGGGUGUGAAAGCCCGGGGCUUAACCCCGGGUCUGCAUUCGAUACGGGCCUGCUAGGGUCCGGCAGGGGAGACUGGAAUUCCUGGUGUAGCGGUGAAAUGCGCAGAUAUCAGGAGGAACACCAGUGCGAAGGCAGGCUC